rnacentral:rRNA from 2 species
GUAGUUUUUUGAGGCACUUUUUU